UGUAACACAAUUGGUUGCGCGUUGAAUUUAUAAUCCAAAGGCCGUGGGCUCGAAUCCCACCUAA